GUACGAAGGGGGCUAGCGUUGUUCGGAAUCACUGGGCGUAAAGGGCGCGUAGGCGGCUUAUCAAGUCGGGGGUGAAAGCCCGUGGCUCAACCACGGAAUGGCCUCGAUACUGGUAGGCUUGAGACCGGAAGAGGACAGCGGAACUGCGGAGUGUAGAGGUGAAAUUCGUAGAUAUUCGCAAAGAACACCAGUGGCGAAGGCGGACUGUCUGGUCCGGUUCGUGACGCUGAGGCGCGAAAGCGUGGGGAGCAAAGCAGGAUUAAGAACCCUGAGUAG
rnacentral:rRNA from 1 species